CCAAGGAACCAUAUAACGAAAAAAGAGCACGUUGGCAGUUGCCGCCCGUUCGCGGUGUGCGCGGACCGCCUCGUGACUCCUUUCUUGUGAAAAUUUAAAACGACUCUCGGCAACGGAUAUCUCGGCUCUCGCAUCGAUGAAGAACGUAGCGAAAUGCGAUACUUGGUGUGAAUUGCAGAAUCCGUGAACCAUCGAGUCUUUGAACGCAAGUUGCGCCCAAGCCAUUAGGCCGAGGGCACGCCUGCCUGGGUGUCA
rnacentral:rRNA from 1 species